AUUGAACGCUGGCGGCAGGCCUAACACAUGCAAGUCGAACGAGUGGCGGACGGGUGAGUAAUGUCUGGGAAACUGCCUGAUGGAGGGGGAUAACUACUGGAAACGGUAGCUAAUACCGCAUACCAUCGGAUGUGCCCAGAUGGGAUUGGCUAGUCGGUGGGGUAACGGCUCACCUAGGCGAGACUCCCUAGCUGGUCUGAGAGGAUGACCAGCCACACGGGAACUGAGACACGGUCCAGACUCCUACGGGUGGCAGCAGUGGGGAAUAUUGCACAAUGGGCGCAAGCCUGAUGCAGCCAUGCCGCGUGUAUGAAGAAGGCCUUCGGGUUGUAAAGUACUUUCAGCGGGGAGGCGUUACCCGCAGAAGAAGCACCGGCUAACUCCGUGCCAGCCGCCGCGGUAAUUC
rnacentral:rRNA from 1 species